CGAAUCCGGGAUAACCUCGCGAAAGCGUUGCUAAUACCGGAUUUGUCCUAUUGGUUGUGACCUUUGGGAUGAAAGGCAACCUCUUCAUGAAGUUGUCGUUCAGGUAUGGGCCCGCGUACCAUUAGCUUGUUGGUGGGGUACGGCUCACCAAGGCUACGAUGGUUAGCUGGUCUGAUAGGAUGAUCAGCCCACUGCAACGGAAACACGGUCCAGACUCCUACGGGAGGCAGCAGUGAGGAUUUUGCGCAAUGGGGGAAACCCGGAGGCACCACGCCGCGUGAGUGACGCGGCUCUCGGCUCGUACGGCUCUGUCCAGUGGGAAAAAACUCUGACGACACUAGUGGUCAGAUCUGAUCGUCCCACUGGAGGCAGCACCGGCUAACCCGUGGCCAGCAGCCGC
rnacentral:rRNA from 1 species